UGAACUUAAGCAUAUCAAUAAGCGGAGGAAAAGAAACUAACAAGGAUUCCCCUAGUAACUGCGAGUGAAGCGGGAAAAGCUCAAAUUUAAAAUCUGACAGUUAUUUUUUUUGCUGUCCGAGUUGUAAUCUGGAGAAGUGUUACCCGUGCUGGACCAUGUACAAGUCUCCUGGAAUGGAGCAUCAUAGAGGGUGAGAAUCCUGUCUUUGACAUGGACUACCAGUGCUUUUGUGGUGCACUCUCAAAGAGUCGAGUUGUUUGGGAAUGCAGCUCAAAAUGGGUGGUAAAUGCCAUCUAAAGCUAAAUAUUGGCGAGAGACCGAUAGCGAACAAGUACCGUGAGGGAAAGAUGAAAAGAACUUUGGAAAGAGAGUUAAACAGUACGUGAAAUUGCUGAAAGGGAAACGCUUGAAGUCAGUCACAUUGGUUGAGAAUCAGCCUUGCUUUUGCUUGGUGUAUUUUUCAGCUGAUGGGUCAGCAUCAAUUUUGUUUGCUGGAUAAAGGCUUGGGGAAUGUGGCAUCUCCGGAUGUGUUAUAGCCCUUUGUUGUAUACAGCAGAUGGGAUUGAGGAACUCAGCAUGCCAUAAGGCCAGGUUUUUUUUGACCAUGUUCAUGCUUAGGAUGCUGGCAUAAUGGCUUUAAUCGACCCGUCUUGAAACACGGACCAAGGAGUCUAACAUGCAUGCGAGUAUUUGGGUGGAAAACCCAUGUGCGCAAUGAAAGUGAAAGUUGAGAUCCCUGUCGUGGGGAGCAUUGACACCCAGACCAGACCUUUUGUGACGGAUCUGUGGUAGAGCAUGUAUGUUGGGACCCGAAAGAUGGUGAACUAUGCCUGAAUAGGGUGAAGCCAGAGGAAACUCUGGUGGAGGCUCGUAGCGAUUCUGACGUGCAAAUCGAUCGUCAAAUUUGGGUAUAGGGGCGAAAGACUAAUCGAA
rnacentral:rRNA from 1 species